rnacentral:tRNA from 13 species
GCGGGUGUAGUUUAAUGGUAGAACUCCAGCCUUCCAAGCUGAUCACGUGGGUUCGAUUCCCAUCACCCGCUCCA